AAUCACACGUACCCAGAAGCUGCAAUGGAUUUUUUAUUUGGUGAAAUUAAAUGGGGUUUGGCUUAUUUGAUGAAUAGUGGAAGUAUUAAGGACUUGUUUUAAUGGUAUGUUGAUUGCACAAAUAAUGAUGUAAUUAAGUGACUCAGCUUUAUCCAAUCAAACAUAAGCUUCCAGUACUUGUGAUUGAACUAGGGAAGCUUGCAGAGUUAAUAUAUGUGUAAAGUUUAUCAAUUCUGUAAUCAAGAUGAACUAAUUAUAGUAUUACAUGCUCACAUGUGCUAAAAUUGUGUUGGCAGAUUAUGGGCAGAGCAGGAAAUGG
rnacentral:misc_RNA from 1 species